AGGUGACACCAUCAUGCAUGACUACUCCAAGGAAUUGCCUGUCUCUGCUAUCUCCCACACCCAACUAUAGCAAACUGGUUUUGAGAAUCAAGCUUGGGUACACCUAUUUCUUUAAGGCCUUACAAAGCUCCCUCUCACUGCUUCUGUCCCUCACGGACUGGUAGCCAAGGGACCUCAAGGAAAAAGGAAAACCCCACACUUUUCAGGUCAACACAUGGAGAAAACAGCCUUAUACAGUCACAGACUAUGG